GACGGAGGGGGCUAGCGUUGUUCGGAAUGACUGGGCGUAAAGGGCGCGUAGGCGGUUUUGUGCGUCAGACGUUAAAGACCUGGGCUUAACCUAGGGGAUGCGUAUGAUACGGCAAGACUAGAGUAGGUUAGAGGAGAACGGAAUUUCCGGAGUAGAGGUGAAAUUCGUAGAGUUCGGAAGGAACACCCGUGGCGAAGGCGGUUUUCUGGGGCCUAACUGACGCUGAGGCGCGAAAGCGUGGGGAGCAAACAGG
rnacentral:misc_RNA from 1 species